AGAACGAACGCUGGCGGCAUGCCUAACACAUGCAAGUCGAACGAGACCUUCGGGUUUAGUGGCGCACGGGUGCGUAACGCGUGGGAAUCUGCCCUUGGGUUCGGAAUAACAGUUGGAAACGACUGCUAAUACCGGAUGAUGACGUAAGUCCAAAGAUUUAUCGCCCAGGGAUGAGCCCGCGGUAGGAUUAGCUAGUUGGUGAGUAAA
rnacentral:rRNA from 1 species